CGUAACGACACGGAAGAGUCCGGGCUCAGAGCCCGGCGCCGAAGGAGCAACCGCCCCGGAAACUCUCAGGCACCCAGGACCGUGACGUUGCG
rnacentral:ncRNA from 2 species